UUUUUUGUCAUUAACUCCAUUCCAAGCAAUCAUUAAUGGAAGUCUUGAUUCAAAUUUUUUGAUUGAUGUAAUUGGUCAACCAACAGAUUUUGGAGAUCUCGAAGUUGUUCAAGUGCUUAGUAAAGACAAGAAGAAGUUGGAAUUUACUUUGACAGAUACAAGUGAUCAACAAAUAGCAUGUUGUCUAUGGGGGCGUUUUGCUGAACAAGUGUUCAGAACUUACAAAGUUGGACCUUC